rnacentral:misc_RNA from 1 species
GUUUGCUUUGCCUUGAUCAAUGAAUUAUCUCAAAAAGAUAUCUGGGUUGGAAUGGAUUUGUUUGUUUUCCAACCCAAACUGCUUCAGUGUUUGUUAUGUCCAUUCAAUUUCAAUGUCAUUAUUCUUCAAAUUCAUUUGAUUUUGAAGAAAGAAACAGAAAUACACCUAAUGGUGAACUUUGACUUGUGUGGCCUCAUCAGGUGACAUUCAUAUUUGACGGCUCCUCAUCAGAGCUGUACUCUUUGAAAAUUCGAAAUUUAUGAAUUUGUGUUCGUUUUCUGCAAAAAAAAAAAAAAAAAAAAA